rnacentral:rRNA from 1 species
UACGGAGGGGGCUAGCGUUGUUCGGAAUUACUGGGCGUAAAGCGCGCGCAGGCGGUCCUUUAAGUCUGAUGUGAAAGCCCACGGCUCAACCGUGGAGGGUCAUUGGAAACUGGGGGACUUGAGUGCAGAAGAGGAAAGCGGAAUUCCACGUGUAGCGGUGAAAUGCGUAGAGAUGUGGAGGAACACCAGUGGCGAAGGCGGCUCACUGGCCCGGUACUGACGCUGAUGUGCGAAAGCGUGGGGAGCAAACAGG